CGCCGUCUGCGAGAGCAGGAACAUGGCGGGCUGAUCGCUCGCGUAGGGCGCCGGUCCCACGCCGAUGAUGGUGGC
rnacentral:tRNA from 1 species